UACGUAGGGCGCAAGCGUUAUCCGGAAUUAUUGGGCGUAAAGAGCUCGUAGGCGGUUUGUCGCGUCUGCCGUGAAAGUCCGGGACUCAACUCCGGAUCUGCGGCGGGUACGGGCAGACUAGAGUGAUGUAGGGGAGACUGGAAUUCCUGGUGUAGCGGUGAAAUGCGCAGAUAUCAGGAGGAACACCGAUGGCGAAGGCAGGUCUCUGGGCAUUAACUGACGCUGAGGAGCGAAAGCAUGGGGAGCGAACAGG
rnacentral:rRNA from 1 species